rnacentral:rRNA from 1 species
AAUAAGGGCGUAUGGAGGAUGCCUUGACAUCAAAUGGCGAAGAAGGACGUGGCGUAGCUGCGAUAAGCCUCGGGGAGGUGCCUAGCAACCUGUGAGCCGAGGAUUUCCGAACGGGGUAACCUAAUGCAAAAAACUUGCAUUGCUCUGAUUCAAAUCAGAGAGCGCACCCGCUGAAGUAAAACAUUUCAGUAAGCGGAGGAAAAUAAAACGAAGUCAUUCCCCAAGUAGCGGCGAGUGAAAAGGGAAUAGCCCAAACCUGAUAAAAUUAAUCUUUGGUUAGCUGAAUUGGCUGGAAAGCCAAACCUAAGAGGGUGAAAGUCCUGUAAGCGAAAAUCAAAGAUCUCUUUAGUUUUUAUCCCGACGAAAGUCGGGGCUCUAAUCUCGCAAGAGAUUGGGGUUCUUGAGUACCUCGAGGACAGAAUGCUUCGAGGGAAGCUGCCGGUACUAUUCGGCAAGGCUAAAUACGUUUGAUGAUCGAUAGUGAACUAGUACCGUGAGGGAAAGGUGAAAAGCAGGCCGGCAAGGCCGAUGAAAUAGAAUCUGAAACCAUAUGCCUACAAGGAACGAGAGCUCGUGUGAUCGUGUGCCUAUUGAAGAAUGAGCCAACGAGUUUAGGUAAAUCGUUUGUCUAAGUUCUACGGAGCGGAGGCAAAGGGAAACCGAGUGUUAAAAGCGCGAUUAUAACGGUUUACUUAAGACCCGAAGCCAAGUGAGCUUGUCCUGGCCAGGAUGAAAUUCGCCGAAAGGCGGAUGGAGGUCCGAACCGGUUGGUUGUGCAAAACCUUCGGAUGAGCUGGGAUAAGAAGUGAAAAGCUAAUCGAACUUGGUAAUAGCUGGUUCUCUCCGAAAUAGCUUUAGGGCUAGCGACUGUCAUAAAUUUCUCGGGGGUAGAGCUACUGGUUCGGGAGUAAAGGGCGAAAGCUCGGCUCUCGAGUCAAACUCCGAAUACCGGGAAAUCCGGGCAGUUAGUCAGAACGUGGGGGCUAAGCUCCAUGCUCAAAAGGGAAACAGCCCAGAUCGCCAUCUAAGGCCCCUAAAUGUUUGCUAAGUGUAAAAGGUAGUAGUUAACCAUAGACAGGUAGGAGGUUGGCUUAGAGGUAGCCAUCCUUUAAAGAGUGUGUAACAACUCACUACUCGACGGUUGAUUGCGCCGAAAAUUUACCGGGGCUAAGCAAACUGCCGAAGAUGCGAAUUUCACAUAUAAUUUAUUAUUUGUGGAGUGGUAGGAGAGCAUUUCAAACGCGCUGAAGGCGGACCCGCGAGGGCUGCUGAAGCGUUUGGAAGAGAGAAUGUUGGCAUGAGUAACCGUAUAUUCUGGUAAGAAGCCAGAACCCCGAAAAUCCAAGGUUUCCUCCGUAACGGAAUUCGUCGGAGGGUUAGGCGAUCCUAAGGCAAUGGCGAAAGCCGCAGCUGAUGGGAAGCCGGUUAAUAUUCCGGCCCUUCCGUUGUUUUCGAUGGGGUGACGAAGGAUAUAAGGUUGAGCGUCUUAAUGGUUUGACGUUUUUACUGUAAGAGGCGGCAAUGAGGAAAAUCCCGUUGUCUGUUUUCAAUAACAUGUCUCGGCAGCGAGAAAAGAUCUGAUUCGUCGGGUCAAUUCAACUGAAUAGCCUUCCAAGAAAAACCUCUAAGGUUAAAACAAUGGAAAUCGUACCGUAAACCGACACUGGUGGGUGAGGCGAGAAGCCUCAGGGGAACGAGUGAUUCCUCCUUAAGGAACUCGGCAAAAAAGCGGCCGUAAGUUCGCAAUAAGGCCUCCCAGCACCAUUUUUGUGCGAUAGAAAUUUCUAUUUCUCAAAAAUGGUGCUGGGCGCAGCGAAAGUAUCUCUAGCGACUGUUUAUCAAAAACACAGCUCCCUGCAAACUCGUAAGAGGACGUAUAGGGGGUGAUGCCUGACCGAUGCGAGAAGGUCAAGCUUGGGGGUAUUAUGCAGCAAUGUGUAAUGCUCACUGAGUUAAGCCCUCGUCAAUGUCGGCCGUAACUAUAACGGUCCAAAGGUAGCGCAAUUCCUUUCCGGGUAAGUUCCGGAGCGCAUGAAUGGCGUAACGACUGGAGAACUGUCUCAAGGAGGAGCUCGGUGAAAAUGCGAUUCCCGUGAAGACGCGGGAUACCUGCAGCGGGACGAAAAGACCCCGGGAGCUUUACUGCAGCUUGAUAUUGUUUUUAGAAUAUUGUUUUUAGAGUUUUGAUGCGUAGCGUAGUGGGGAGACUUUGAAAUCUGGUUUUCGGAUCAGAUGGAGUCGCCAAUGAAACACCCAUCUUUAAAAUUCUAAAGACUAACCUUUUCGGAAAAAACGAAAUGGAACAGUGUCUGGUGGGCAGUUUUAAUGGGGCGUUAUCCUCCUAAAAAGUAACGGAGGAGUUUAUUAAGGUCGGCUAAGGUCGGAUGGAAAUCGACCGCGUCGUGUAAAGGCACAAGCCGGCUUGACUGCAAGGCCGACAAGCCGCGCAGCUGCGAAAGCAGAACUUAGUGACCCGACGGUCCUUUAUAGAAAGGCCGGAGACAACGGAUAAAAGCUACCCCGGGGAUAACAGGCUGGUGAGGCUCGAGAGUUCCUAUCGACGGCCUCGCUCGGCACCUCGAUGUCGGCUCACCACAGCGCGGGGCUGGAGAAGGUCCCAAGCGUUUGGCUGUUCGCCAAUUAAAGUGGUACGUGAGCUGGGUUCAGACCGUGUGAGACAGGUUGGUCUCUAUCUGUUGCAGGCGUUGAAGUUUGAAGGAAGUUGACCCUAGUACGAGAGGACCGGGUUGAACGAACCUCUGGUCUACCGGCUUUGCCACCAGGUGAAGCGCCGGGUAGCUAUGUUCGGCAGGGAUAAGCGCUGAAAGCAUCUAAGCGCGAAGCCCUUCCUAAGAUUAGACUUCAAGACUCGUGGAAGACUACCACGUUGAUAGGCUCCAGGUGUAAGGCUAGUAAUAGUUUUAGCCGAGGAGUACUAAUAAGUC